UAUGGAUACUGCUGACUCCUUACUGUCAGUACCUGCUGCACAACUGUGCUGUCUCGUCCUUACAGUCUGUAUUCCAAAUCCCAAGAGCACUUUUCUAAAGUGGAUCUUACCCAGCACACUGCUGUCAAGGCAGAGUCUACAAACAACUCAAUUUAAUAAAGGAGUUUAGAGGUUUACAGGAUAGAAAAUUAACCUAAAAAAUAAACAUUUCUUUAUGGUGGAAAUAAAUGGCUAAAAUGCAAUGAUAGAACCAAAAUCUGAUGAAAUAUGUCACUUGGACAAGGCAGAAGGCUGACCCUUCAAUCUCAUAAAUUUACCAAGAGGAUGCUGCCUUUUAAAGAGUGUGGAUAUGCAUCCUUAGGUGGCCUUUAAUUGGCUAAGGGCUUCUGCAUCUGCAGAUAUGCAUACUUUAAAAAAAUUUUUUUAUGGCAGUACUUGAGCUAAGGUUCUAAUUGGAGUUGAGACUGCAGCCAUAGCGACACCCGAUCCAAGCUGAAUCUGCAACCUACACUGCAGCUUGCAGCAAUGCUGCAUCCUGAGCUAGGCCAGGGAUUGAACCCACAUCCUCAUGGAGACUACGUUAGGUUCUUAAUUGGCUGAAGCACCAGAGGAACUUCUUAAAAAUUAAAGCAUAGUGGAUUUACAAUGUUGUGCCAAUUUCUGCUCUAUAGCAACGUGACCCAGUUAUACAUAGACGUGUUUUUUAUAUUCUUUUCCGUCAUCAUCUAUCCCCAGAGAUUAGAUAUAGUAUGCUUUUUAUACAAUCAAACUGGCCAAGUGAAGUUGACUGAUACAAAUUUGGAUGGUAUUUUCUUUAUCUAAGAACUGUUUCCCGCUCACUUCAAGAAAGAGGAGCUACACUUCUGCCUGUCCAUGAAUAAUAUGAUGUAGGCAGAUAAGUGAACAGGAGUGACUUAGGAGAUCAAUGACCGUAAAAAUGAUUAACAUUGCUAAGCACUUUUAGGAUGACCAGCAAAGUCUCAAGCUUGUAAAUGACAGAGCCAGAGUACAAACCAGGCAACAUAAAACCAGCAUAUUUAAACUAACCAAUACACACACGGUGGCUGAGAAUCAAGUAAUUGAUCCUCUUGGAUUACAGAGAUGGUCAGUGAUUAACACUCACUCAAGGAUGGGUGGAUCAAUUCUUUUAAACUGCGCUUCUGUUGGAGUUGGUGGUUGGGAGUUUCUUCCCUUUGCAUCGUGAAUUGAAAAGAAUCAGUUGGAGGCUACAAAGCAGCAUGGCAUUUACUAUGUGACGCAGAGUAUCUGUAUUAAGGAAGAAGGAAAACAUUCAAACACAACCAUGAUGUAGAAAAAAUGAGAAAAAGAGGUGCAUGUACGAGUGAGAUGAAGCAACAAUAAGUUAUAUCACAUAUGAAUCCUUCUUUCUGGUUCCUGAGCUAAGAGAAUUAAAUGGACUUUACAAAUCAUCCAAAGAUUGUCAAUCCAGUAAAACUUUUUUUUUCUUUAAUAUGAUUUUAGUUUUUAAUCUGCAUUUCGCAACAGUAUAAUUCAACAUACUCCCAUAGGUGAAUCUACCAAAACUAUGCUGAGACAACUAAGAAAGAGAAGAAGCAAUACUAUUAACGUGUAUAUUCUGUGGUUAGAGUAUUAUUAACCACAAUCUUGGGUAAAGGUCUCAAGAGGGCAUCAUUACCAAGGCAAAUGCUAGCUCUCAGUGGAAUUGCUUUAUGGAAAAGUCAUUACAUGCUAGUGUCUUUCCUUUAUGUAAUAACUAAUUAGAAACCAUCUGCAAUCAUGAAAUUCUUCUUAAUGAUACAGUUUUUUAUAUUAUUUUAUUAUUCUUACUUAACAUUAAUGCAGCAAAUUGCUUUAAAGAAGAGAAAAACAGCUAAAAGCUAUUCUAAUAUCUUACUGUUUUGCCAUAACAAUGACAGAUAUAUGAUUCAGUUUUUCUGUUUUAUAUUGAAACUAGGUAAAUUGGGAAGCAAGUUCCUUGAUCUAUAUAAAAAUCAAUGUCCCCUAAUCAACAUUGUUUGACACAUAAAAUUUUAUGUUUGUUUAUAUAUCAGAUAUUCCUAUAUUCCAUGAAAUAAGUGUCAAUUUAAAGGAAAAAAACAUUAAAGCAGUGUGUGUGUAUGUGUGUGUGUAUAUAUAUAUAUAUAUAUAUACCUUCACAUAAAUAAAUAAAAAGUAUUUAAAUAAAUAUAUAUGUAAAUACAUAUAUAUGUAAGUACCUUCAUUUAUACAUUAUAUGAUUUAAUAAUUUAAAAAUAUGAAUGCUAUAUGCUGUUUGAAUAAAUUAGAUUGUGAUAAGUAUCACAAUGUGUAUUAUUUGAGGUACAUAGGGAUCUGGUGUUGCCAUGAGCUGUGGUGUAGGUCACAGACACAGCUCUGAUCUGGUGGUGUUGUGGCUCUGGUGGAGGCCAGCGGCUACAGCUCUGAUUAGACCCCUAGCCUGGGAACCUCCAUAUGCCAUGGGUAUGGCC
rnacentral:lncRNA from 1 species